GGGGCGGGGCCGACGCGGGCCGUGGGCGGGGCGCGCCGCUAGUCUCCUGCUAGAGCCGCGGGGGCCGCGGAGCUGGAGCUGGAGCCGGAGCUGAAGCCGGAGCCGGGCUGGAGUCGGGGCGGGGGCCGGGCCAGAGCGGGCUCCAGCGCCAUGGGGUCGUCCGACUCCAAGCUGAACUUCCGGAAGGCGGUGAUCCAGCUCACCACCAAGACGCAGCCUGUGGAAGCCACCGAUGAUGCCUUUUGGGACCAGUUCUGGGCAGACACAGCCACCUCAGUGCAGGAUGUGUUUGCACUGGUACCAGCAGCAGAGAUCCGGGCCGUGCGGGAAGAGUCACCCUCCAACUUGGCCACCCUGUGCUACAAGGCCGUUGAGAAGCUGGUACAGGGAGCUGAGAGUGGCUGCCACUCGGAGAAGGAGAAGCAGAUUGUCCUGAACUGCAGCCGGCUGCUCACCCGCGUGCUGCCCUACAUCUUUGAGGAUCCCGACUGGAGGGGCUUCUUCUGGUCCACAGUGCCCGGGGCAGGGCGAGGAGGGCAGGGAGAAGAGGAUGAUGAGAAUGCCAGGCCCCUGGCUGAGUCCCUGCUCCUGGCCAUUGCUGACCUGCUCUUCUGCCCGGACUUCACGGUCCAGAGCCACCGGAGGAGCACUGUGGACUCGGCGGAGGACGUCCACUCCCUGGACAGCUGUGAAUACAUCUGGGAGGCUGGUGUGGGCUUCGCUCACUCCCCCCAGCCUAACUACAUCCAUGAUAUGAACCGGAUGGAGCUGCUGAAACUGCUGCUGACAUGCUUCUCCGAGGCCAUGUACCUGCCCCCAGCUCCGGAAGGUGGCAGCACCAAUCCAUGGGUUCAAUUCUUUUGUUCCACGGAGAACAGACAUGCCCUGCCCCUCUUCACCUCCCUCCUCAACACCGUGUGUGCCUAUGACCCUGUGGGCUACGGGAUCCCCUACAACCACCUGCUCUUCUCUGACUACCGGGAGCCCCUGGUGGAGGAGGCUGCCCAGGUGCUCAUUGUCACCUUGGACCACGACAGCGCCAGCAGUGCCAGCCCCACUGUGGACGGCACCACCACUGGCACCGCCAUGGAUGAUGCCGAUCCUCCAGGCCCGGAGAACCUGUUUGUGAACUACUUGUCCCGCAUCCAUCGCGAGGAGGACUUCCAGUUCAUCCUCAAGGGUAUAGCCCGGCUGCUGUCCAACCCCCUGCUCCAGACCUACCUGCCCAACUCCACCAAGAAGAUCCAGUUCCACCAGGAGCUGCUAGUUCUCUUCUGGAAGCUCUGUGACUUCAACAAGAAAUUCCUCUUCUUCGUACUGAAGAGCAGUGACGUCCUAGACAUCCUUGUCCCCAUCCUCUUCUUCCUCAACGAUGCCCGGGCCGAUCAAUCUCGGGUGGGCCUGAUGCACAUUGGUGUCUUCAUCCUGCUGCUUCUGAGCGGGGAGCGGAACUUUGGGGUGCGGCUGAACAAGCCCUACUCGGUUCGCGUGCCCAUGGACAUCCCAGUCUUCACGGGGACCCACGCCGACCUGCUCAUUGUGGUGUUCCACAAAAUCAUCACCAGCGGGCACCAGCGGCUGCAGCCCCUCUUCGACUGCCUGCUUACCAUCGUGGUCAACGUGUCCCCCUACCUCAAGAGCCUGUCCAUGGUGACUGCCAACAAGUUGCUGCACCUGCUGGAGGCCUUCUCCACCACCUGGUUCCUCUUCUCUGCCGCCCAGAACCACCACCUGGUCUUCUUCCUCCUGGAGGUCUUCAACAACAUCAUCCAGUACCAGUUUGACGGCAACUCCAACCUGGUCUACGCCAUCAUCCGCAAGCGCAGCGUCUUCCAUCAGCUGGCCAACCUGCCCACGGACCCGCCCACCAUUCACAAGGCCCUGCAGCGGCGCCGGCGGACACCCGAGCCCUUGUCUCGCACCGGCUCCCAGGAGGGCACCUCCAUGGAGGGCUCCCGUCCUGCCGCCCCUGCAGAGCCAGGCACCCUCAAGACCAGCCUGGUGGCUACUCCAGGCAUUGACAAGCUGACGGAGAAGUCCCAGGUGUCAGAGGAUGGCACCUUGCGGUCCCUGGAGCCUGAGCCCCAGCAGAGCUCGGAGGACGGCAGCCCAGCCAAGGGGGAGCCCAGCCAGGCAUGGAGGGAGCAGCGGCGACCAUCCAGUUCAUCAGCCAGUGGGCAGUGGAGCCCAACGCCGGAGUGGAUCACGCCAGUUGCACUGGAACAGGGAUCAUUGCUGUUCCUGCCUGACCACGCUGUUGUGAGGGCUAAAGGCGACAGUCUCCCGAAAGGUCCUCUCCUGGAAGUCAAAGCUGCCGCUGCAGACCAUCAUGAGGCUGCUGCAGGUGCUGGUUCCGCAGGUGGAGAAGAUCUGCAUCGACAAGGGCCUGACGGAUGAGUCUGAGAUCCUACGGUUCCUGCAGCAUGGCACCCUGGUGGGGCUGCUGCCCGUGCCCCACCCCAUCCUCAUCCGCAAGUACCAGGCCAACUCGGGCACUGCCAUGUGGUUCCGCACCUACAUGUGGGGCGUCAUCUAUCUGAGGAAUGUGGACCCCCCUGUCUGGUAUGACACCGAUGUGAAGCUGUUUGAGAUACAGCGGGUGUGAGGAUGAAGCCGGCGAGGUGCUCAGUCUAGGGGAAGGCAGGGCCCUGGUCCCUGAGGCUUCCCUGACCCACCAUUCUGAGCUUUAAAUGACCACGAUCAGGGCCUGGGACAGGCAGAGUGGCUGAGUCCUAAAUGUCAGGCCCCAGAGACCCCUGUGGCCAGGACAAUGUGGACCGACUCUGAUCUCCCUCAACCCCUAGGCUGGACUCACAGGAGCCUCAUCUCCGGGGCUAAGCCCCCAUCAGAGACCACUGCCCCCACUACUCAGACUCCCCCUUUAAGACCUGGCUCAGUGCUGUCUCCUCAGUGCCCACCCACUCCUGUCCUGCCCAGCCCCAGAGGCAGAAGCCAUCAGGUCACUGUGCCCUAGGGGAUUUGACCAAGGAACCACGGGCUGUCCCUUGAGGUGCCUGGGCAGGGUGAGGGGGUGCUUCCGGCCUCCUAACCCUGAAGCCAGCUGUUCCAGGCUCCAGGGGAAAUAGGUGUGGCCAGGCUGCUCCUCGAGGAGGCUGGGAGCUGGCUGACUGCAAAAGCCAGGCUGGGGCACCUCCCGUAUACUUGGGGCAUGGUGUGGGGUGGUGAGGGUCUCCUGCUGUAUUCUCCUGGGUCCGUGGAAAUAGCCUGGCUCCCUCUUACACAGUAAUGAGGGGUAGGGAAGGGAACCGGGGGGCAGCCAUUUAGUCCUCCCUGCCCUGCCCACUGCCUGGAUGGGGCGAUGUCACCCCCUCAUCCUUCCCCCAGCUCUGGCCCCUGGGUCCCGCCCCCCAACCCCUUGUGUCAGAACAAUCUUUGCUCUGUACAAUCAGCCUCUUUACAAUAAAACCUCCUGCUCCACA